ACGGAGUUCUGGCUUUUGAAAACAGAAUUCUGGCUUUUGAAAAAGGAGUUCUUGAUUUCAAAUUGUGUUAUUCGAAUAAAAGAAACAUAUAUUGAGUGUUAGCACAAUAGAAUUUCUAUUUGAAUUAUGACCCUAAUAACUCUUCAUAAGUUUGAACCAUACAUCUAGCGGAGAGUGGACGAAUUAGAAUAUGCAUAUCAAGUUAUUCAACUGUUCAACCACCAUUUGAAUAUGCAAAAAUAAAAAACUGAGUUGCUCAAAGAACAAUUAGUUUCCGCACGUUUGAUUCGCUUUAAAUAGACAAUUCCAGCCACAAGCUAGAAGAACAAAAUCCAUCACCACAGCUAGAAAGAGCAUGUUAAAAUUAGUAAAUUGCAAAGUUUCCUUGCGAAAUGAUGUAAAAUGCGGAAAAUAUAGCCCUGCGAAAUUUGCAAAUUUUGUAUUAAUUUGUAUUUUGACCAAAAGUGGUGUAUUUUCCCGCGCGUAAUACAAAUUAAUGCAAAAUUUGCAAGGCUAUAUUUUCCGCAUUUACAACAUUUCGCAACCAAACUUUGCAAUUUUACUCAUUUUAACAAGCUUUUUCUCUUGCUGUGGUGAUGGAUUUUGUUCUUCUUGCCUAGAUCAACAUUUAGUUUACAGCUGGAAUCAUCCGUUACAAAAUAAAGAAAGGUACACAUAACGGAAUAUAUAACCCUUCUUUAUAUUACUUCACAAAGAAGACAACGUAUGCUAGUGCAAUAAAAAUACUUUAUGACAGGUCUAUUUUGGCUAUAAGUGAAACACAAAUAAUGAUUGAACAGCUCAAUACUCUCUACUAUAUAUAUAUAUAUAUAUAUAUAUAUGCACAUUCUAAUCUUCCAGCCUCGGCUACUUGUUAUAUGGUUCAAUUGCAAUUUAUAAAAAUGCUUAGGGAGUGGUUAUUAUUUAUGGGGUAGUAGGGGUGGAUGAUUUUUUAGACACAACCUAAAAUUUUCCAUAAAAUUUUCCAUGUGAAAUUCACUACCCCUCCUUAAAGGAGAUCGUUUUAACAAAU